rfam:Gossypium raimondii Chr11_contig_748, whole genome shotgun sequence.
AACCCGUGGUACGGGCAUUUUUUAAUCAACAUCUUAAAUCAUUCCCAUACCUCAUAAAAGCUUUCUCCCUCCAUCUGUCUAAAAAUAUCAAUCUCCCUUGUUAGUUU